UAUCCUACGGGGCGCAGCAGUGGGGAAUAUUGCACAAUGGGGGAAACCCUGAUGCAGCAACGCCGCGUGAGUGAAGAAGGUUUUCGGAUUGUAAAGCUCUGUUAGCAGGGAAGAGGAAGGACGGUACCUGCAGAGGAAGCCACGGCUAACUACGUGCCAGCAGCCGCGGUAAUACGUAGGCGGCAAGCGUUGUUCGGAAUAACUGGGCGUAAAGGAUGCGUAGGCGGGUAAACAAGUUAUAUGUUAAAUAAAUAGGCUUAACCUGUAGAAAGCAUAUAAAACUGGUUAACUAGAAGGCAGGAAAG
rnacentral:rRNA from 1 species